CAGCAGUGGGGAAUAUUGCACAAUGGGGGAAACCCUGAUGCAGCGACGCCGCGUGGAGGAAGAAGGUCUUCGGAUUGUAAACUCCUGUUGUUGAGGAAGAUAAUGACGGUACUCAACAAGGAAGUGACGGCUAACUACGUGCCAGCAGCCGCGGUAAAACGUAGGUCACAAGCGUUGUCCGGAAUUACUGGGUGUAAAGGGAGCGCAGGCGGGAGAACAAGUUGGAAGUGAAAUCCAUGGGCUCAACCCAUGAACUGCUUUCAAAACUGUUUUUCUUGAGUAGUGCAGAGGUAGGCGGAAUUCCCGGUGUAGCGGUGGAAUGCGUAGAUAUCGGGAGGAACACCAGUGGCGAAGGCGGCCUACUGGGCACCAACUGACGCUGAGGCUCGAAAGUGUGGGUAGCAAACAGGAUUAGAUACCCUGGUAGUCCACACCGUAAACGAUGAUUACUAGGUGUUGGAGGAUUGACCCCUUCAGUGCCGCAGUUAACACAAUAAGUAAUCCACCUGGGGAGUACGACCGCAAGGUUGAAACUCAAAGGAAUUGACGGGGGCCCGCACAAGCGGUGGAGCAUGUGGUUUAAUUCGAAGCAACGCGAAGAACCUUACCAAGUCUUGACAUCCCUCUGACCGGCGAGUAACGUCACCUUUCCUUCGGGACAGAGGAGACAGGUGGUGCAUGGUUGUCGUCAGCUCGUGUCGUGAGAUGUUGGGUUAAGUCCCGCAACGAGCGCAACCCUUAUGGUCAGUUACUACGCAAGAGGACUCUGGCCAGACUGCCGUUGACAAAACGGAGGAAGGUGGGGAUGACGUCAAAUCAUCAUGCCCUUUAUGACUUGGGCUACACACGUACUACAAUGGCGUUAAACAAAGAGAAGCAAGACCGCGAGGUGGAGCAAAACUCAGAAACAACGUCCCAGUUCGGACUGCAGGCUGCAACUCGCCUGCACGAAGUCGGAAUUGCUAGUAAUCGUGGAUCAGCAUGCCACGGUGAAUACGUUCCCGGGCCUUGUACACACCGCCCGUCACACCAUGAGAGCCGGGGGGACCCGAAGUCGGUAGUCUAACCGCAAGGAGGACGCCGCCGAAGGUAAAACUGGUGAUUGGGGUGAAGUCGUAACAAGGUAGCCGUAGGAGAACCUGCGGCUG
rnacentral:rRNA from 1 species